rnacentral:rRNA from 1 species
AGAGCGAACGCUGGCGGCAGGCUUAACACAUGCAAGUCGAACGGAUCCUUCGGGAUUAGUGGCGGACGGGUGAGUAACACGUGGGAACGUGCCUUUAGGUUCGGAACAACACAGGGAAACUUGUGCUAAUACCGGAUGUGCCCUUCGGGGGAAAGAUUUAUCGCCUUUAGAGCGGCCCGCGUCUGAUUAGCUUGUUGGUGAGGUAAAGGCUCACCAAGGCUACGAUCAGUAGCUGGUCUGAGAGGAUGGCCAGCCACAUUGGGACUGAGACACGGCCCAAACUCCUACGGGAGGCAGCAGUGGGGAAUCUUGCGCAAUGGGGAAACCCUGACGCAGCCAUGCCGCGUGGAUGAUGAAGGUCUUAGGAUUGUAAAAUCCUUUCAGCGGGGACGAUAAUGACGGUACCCGCAGAAGAAGCCCCGGCUAACUUCGCGCCAGCAGCCGC